rnacentral:lncRNA from 1 species
CUUCAUUUUAAUCACUUGAUCCUUCUUACACGGUAUCAUUGAGGAUGAGGGAAUCGACACCGGCAAAUUUAAUUUGAAGGGCACCUCUAUUUUGGAAGCUUUACAGGAUGACUUAGCAGAGAAAUUUCCUCUUCUUAGGCGCUGCUUAGAUAAUUCAGGCUUGCACGAAGAGGAGUCAGGCCCUACACUUGCAACUCUUCAUUAGUGCAGCUGGGACUCGGUGAGAGAAAACGGGGACCUGGAUAUCUUCUUGGACUUGUAAGGCUAAUUUUUGGAAACUGCCAAAAUAGUUUAGUCAUUUCAGAGGACCGUAAGGGCAGGCUUUCUGGGAGCCAUUUUCCAGCUGUUGACCUUGUUUGCACAAUUUCGAUUAUUUUCAAAAUAAUAAAAAGGUAUUCAGAAGUUUA